ensembl:snoRNA small nucleolar RNA U3
AAGACUAUACUUUCAGGGAUCAUUUCUAUAGUUUCUGACUUGAGAAAUGUGUUUCUAGAAUGUAUGGUCUCGCCAACCACGAUGAUGAGUUGUGAUAUUCUCUUGUGAGCAUGAAUCUGAUGGAGAACAUUGUUUAUUAUAUAUGUUCUCUGUCAUUGAUGAUUGUUCUUUGCUUUCUGGGGGAGCAAUGAAGAAGGGAAUAUGUUCAGAGUGGUA